GAUGAACGCUAGCGGCAGGCCUAACACAUGCAAGUCGAGGGGUAACUGGAGUGAUAGCAAUAUUACUUUGGCUAGACCGGCGCACGGGUGCGUAACACGUAUGAAACCUACCUUAUACUGGGGAAUAACUUCGAGAAAUCGGCGCUAAUACCCCAUAACAUUGCGAAGAGGCAUCUCUUUGCAAUUAAAGCUCCGGCGGUAUAAGAUGGGCAUGCGUCCAAUUAGCUAGUUGGUGAGGUAACGGCUCACCAAGGCUACGAUUGGUAGGGGUUCUGAGAGGAUGAUCCCCCACACUGGUAAUGGGACACGGACCAGACUCCUACGGGAGGCAGCAGUGAGGAAUAUUGCGCAAUGGACGAAAGUCUGACGCAGCCAUGCCGCGUGCAGGAUGACGGCCCUAUGGGUUGUAAACUGCUUUUGUACGGGAAUAAACCCUUCUACGUGUAGGAGGCUGAAGGUACCGUAAGAAUAAGCACCGGCUAACUCCGUGCCAGCCGCCGCCGUAAAAC
rnacentral:rRNA from 1 species